GAUGAAGAACGCAGCGAAAUGCGAUAAGUAAUGUGAAUUGCAGAAUUCAGUGAAUCAUCGAAUCUUUGAACGCACCUUGCGCCCUUUGGCUAUUCUGAAGGGCAUGCCUGUUUGAGUAUCAUGAACACCUCAACUCUCAUGGUUCGCCAUGAUGAGCUUGGACUUUGGGGGUCUUGCUGGCCUACGGUCGGCUCCUCUCAAAUGAAUCAGCUUGCCAGUGUUUGGUAGAGUCGCAGGUGUGAUAACUAUCUACGCUUGUGGUUUUCUGCCAGAUAACCUUCAGUGAUGGAGGUUCGCUGGAGCUUAUAAAUGUCUCUCCCCAGUGAGGACAGCUUUUUGAACGUUUGAUCUCAAAUCAGGUAGGACUACCCGCUGAACUUAAGCAUAUCAAUAAGCGAGGA
rnacentral:misc_RNA from 1 species